rnacentral:rRNA from 1 species
AUGCAAGUCGAACGGCAGCGCGGGCUUCGGCCUGGCGGCGAGUGGCGAACGGGUGAGUAAUACAUCGGAACGUGCCCUAGAGUGGGGGAUAACUAGUCGAAAGAUUAGCUAAUACCGCAUACGGUCUACGGAUGAAAGUGGGGGACCGCAAGGCCUCAUGCUCCUGGAGCGGCCGAUGUCUGAUUAGCUUGUUGGUGGGGUAACGGCCCACCAAGGCGACGAUCAGUAGCUGGUCUGAGAGGACGACCAGCCACACUGGGACUGAGACACGGCCCAGACUCCUACGGGAGGCAGCAGUGGGGAAUUUUGGACAAUGGGGGAAACCCUGAUCCAGCAAUGCCGCGUGUGUGAAGAAGGCCUUCGGGUUGUAAAGCACUUUUGUCAGGAACGAAACGGUGGGGGCUAAUAUCCUCUGCUAAUGACGGUACCUGAAGAAUAAGCACCGGCUAACUACGUGCCAGCAGCCGCGGUAAUACGUAGGGUGCGAGCGUUAAUCGGAAUUACUGGGCGUAAAGCGUGCGCAGGCGGUUGUGCAAGACAGAUGUGAAAUCCCCGGGCUUAACCUGGGAAUUGCAUUUGUGACUGCACGGCUAGAGUGUGUCAGAGGGGGGUAGAAUUCCACGUGUAGCAGUGAUAUGCGUAGAUAUGUGGAGGAAUACCGAUGGCGAAGGCAGCCUCCUGGGAUGACACUGACGCUCAUGCACGAAAGCGU